rnacentral:rRNA from 1 species
GGUUAAGCGACUAAGCGUACACGGUGGAUGCCCUGGCAGUCAGAGGCGAUGAAGGACGUGCUAAUCUGCGAUAAGCGUCGGUAAGGUGAUAUGAACCGUUAUAACCGGCGAUUUCCGAAUGGGGAAACCCAGUGUGAUUCGUCACACUAUCAUUAACUGAAUCCAUAGGUUAAUGAGGCGAACCGGGGGAACUGAAACAUCUAAGUACCCCGAGGAAAAGAAAUCAACCGAGAUUCCCCCAGUAGCGGCGAGCGAACGGGGAGCAGCCCAGAGCCUGAAUCAGUGUGUGUGUUAGUGGAAGCGUCUGGAAAGGCGCGUGAUACAGGGUGACAGCCCCGUACACAAAAAUGCACAUGCUGUGAGCUCGAUGAGUAGGGCGGGACACGUGGUAUCCUGUCUGAAUAUGGGGGGACCAUCCUCCAAGGCUAAAUACUCCUGACUGACCGAUAGUGAACCAGUACCGUGAGGGAAAGGCGAAAAGAACCCCGGCGAGGGGAGUGAAAAAGAACCUGAAACCGUGUACGUACAAGCAGUGGGAGCACGCUUAGGCGUGUGACUGCGUACCUUUUGUAUAAUGGGUCAGCGACUUAUAUUCUGUAGCAAGGUUAACCGAAUAGGGGAGCCGAAGGGAAACCGAGUCUUAACUGGGCGUUAAGUUGCAGGGUAUAGACCCGAAACCCGGUGAUCUAGCCAUGGGCAGGUUGAAGGUUGGGUAACACUAACUGGAGGACCGAACCGACUAAUGUUGAAAAAUUAGCGGAUGACUUGUGGCUGGGGGUGAAAGGCCAAUCAAACCGGGAGAUAGCUGGUUCUCCCCGAAAGCUAUUUAGGUAGCGCCUCGUGAAUUCAUCUCCGGGGGUAGAGCACUGUUUCGGCAAGGGGGUCAUCCCGACUUACCAACCCGAUGCAAACUGCGAAUACCGGAGAAUGUUAUCACGGGAGACACACGGCGGGUGCUAACGUCCGUCGUGAAGAGGGAAACAACCCAGACCGCCAGCUAAGGUCCCAAAGUCAUGGUUAAGUGGGAAACGAUGUGGGAAGGCCCAGACAGCCAGGAUGUUGGCUUAGAAGCAGCCAUCAUUUAAAGAAAGCGUAAUAGCUCACUGGUCGAGUCGGCCUGCGCGGAAGAUGUAACGGGGCUAAACCAUGCACCGAAGCUGCGGCAGCGACGCUUAUGCGUUGUUGGGUAGGGGAGCGUUCUGUAAGCCUGUGAAGGUGUACUGUGAGGUAUGCUGGAGGUAUCAGAAGUGCGAAUGCUGACAUAAGUAACGAUAAAGCGGGUGAAAAGCCCGCUCGCCGGAAGACCAAGGGUUCCUGUCCAACGUUAAUCGGGGCAGGGUGAGUCGACCCCUAAGGCGAGGCCGAAAGGCGUAGUCGAUGGGAAACAGGUUAAUAUUCCUGUACUUGGUGUUACUGCGAAGGGGGGACGGAGAAGGCUAUGUUGGCCGGGCGACGGUUGUCCCGGUUUAAGCGUGUAGGCUGGUUUUCCAGGCAAAUCCGGAAAAUCAAGGCUGAGGCGUGAUGACGAGGCACUACGGUGCUGAAGCAACAAAUGCCCUGCUUCCAGGAAAAGCCUCUAAGCAUCAGGUAACAUCAAAUCGUACCCCAAACCGACACAGGUGGUCAGGUAGAGAAUACCAAGGCGCUUGAGAGAACUCGGGUGAAGGAACUAGGCAAAAUGGUGCCGUAACUUCGGGAGAAGGCACGCUGAUAUGUAGGUGAAGUCCCUCGCGGAUGGAGCUGAAAUCAGUCGAAGAUACCAGCUGGCUGCAACUGUUUAUUAAAAACACAGCACUGUGCAAACACGAAAGUGGACGUAUACGGUGUGACGCCUGCCCGGUGC